AGAGUUUGAUCAUGGCUCAGAACGAACGCUGGCGGCAGGCUUAACACAUGCAAGUCGAGCGCCCCGCAAGGGGAGCGGCAGACGGGUGAGUAACGCGUGGGAAUCUACCCAUCUCUACGGAAUAACCCAGGGAAACUUGGACUAAUACCGUAUACGUCCUUCGGGAGAAAGAUUUAUCGGAGAUGGAUGAGCCCGCGUUGGAUUAGCUAGUUGGUGGGGUAAUGGCCUACCAAGGCGACGAUCCAUAGCUGGUCUGAGAGGAUGAUCAGCCACACUGGGACUGAGACACGGCCCAGACUCCUACGGGAGGCAGCAGUGGGGAAUAUUGGACAAUGGGCGAAAGCCUGAUCCAGCCAUGCCGCGUGAGUGAUGAAGGCCCUAGGGUUGUAAAGCUCUUUCGCAGGUGAAGAUAAUGACGGUAACCUGAGAAGAAGCCCCGGCUAACUUCGUGCCAGCCGCCGCGGUAAUAC
rnacentral:rRNA from 1 species